rfam:Microgenomates (Gottesmanbacteria) bacterium GW2011_GWA1_47_8 TY08_C0006, whole genome shotgun sequence.
GCCGCGGUGCUGGAAUCGGUAGACAGGCAAGUCUCAAAAACUUGUGUUCUUCACCGGACGUGAGAGUUCGAGUCUCUCCCGCGGCA